UGGGGAAUUUUGGACAAUGGGGGCAACCCUGAUCCAGCAAUGCCGCGUGUGUGAAGAAGGCCUUCGGGUUGUAAAGCACUUUUGUCCGGGAAGAAAUCGCACCUGAUAAUACCGGGUGUGGAUGACGGUACCGGAAGAAUAAGGACCGGCUAACUACGUGCCAGCAGCCGCGGUAAUACGUAGGGUCCAAGCGGUAAUCGGAAUUACUGGGCGUAAAGCGUGCGCAGGCGGUUGUGCAAGACCGAUGUGAAAUCCCCGGGCUUAACCUGGGAAUUGCAUUGGUGACUGCACGGCUAGAGUGUGUCAGAGGGGGGUAGAAUUCCACGUGUAGCAGUGAAAUGCGUAGAGAUGUGGAGGAAUACCGAUGGCGAAGGCAGCCCCCUGGGAUAACACUGACGCUCAUGCACGAAAGCGUGGGGAGCAAACAGG
rnacentral:rRNA from 1 species